CCUACGGGUGGCAGCAGUGGGGAAUUUUGGACAAUGGGCGCAAGCCUGAUCCAGCUAUUCCGCGUGUGGGAAGACGGCCUUCGGGUUGUAAACCACUUUUGUAGAGAACGAAAAGUCUAUUGAUAAUACCGAUAGAUGAUGACGGUACUCUAAGAAUAAGCACCGGCUAACUACGUGCCAGCAGCCGCGGUAAUACGUAGGGUGCGAGCGUUAAUCGGAAUUACUGGGCGUAAAGGGUGUGCAGGCGGUUUUGCAAGAUUGAUGUGAAAGCCCCGGGCUUAACCUGGGAAAGCCAUACAUGACUGCAAGACUAGAGUGCGUCAGAGGGGGGUGGAAUUCCAAGUGUAGCAGGGAAAUGCGUAGAUAUUUGGAAGAACACCGAUGGCGAAGGCAGCCCCCUGGGACGCAACUGACGCUCAUACACGAAAGCGUGGGGAGCAAACAGGAUUAGAUACCCUUGUAGUC
rnacentral:rRNA from 1 species